rnacentral:rRNA from 1 species
AACGAACGCUGGCGGCAGGCCUAACACAUGCAAGUCGAGCGAGGACUUCGGUCCUAGCGGCGGACGGCUGAGUACCGCCUGGGAACGUGCCCUUUGCUUCCCAAUCGCCCUCGGAAACUGGGCGUAAUACCGCAUGAGCCCCUUCCGGGCAAGAGUGACCGGCGCAGGAUCGGCCCGCGUGGGAUUCGGUAGUUGGUGGGGUACUGGCCUACCAAGCCGCCGAUCCAUAGCUGGUUUGAGAGGAUGAGCAGCCCCCCUGGGACUGAGACACGGCCCAGACUCCUACGGGAGGGAGCAGUGGGGAAUGUUAGACAAUGGGGGGAAGCCUGAUGUAGCCAGGCCGCGUGAGGGAUGAAGGCCUUAGGGUUGUAAAGCGCUUUCGGCUGGGAAGAUAAUGACGGUACCAGCAGAAGAAGCCCCGGCUAACUCCGUG